GUGUCAGCAGCCGCGGUAAUACGGAGGGUGCAAGCGUUAUCCGGAAUCAUUGGGUUUAAAGGGUCCGCAGGCGGAUUUAUAAGUCAGUGGUGAAAGCCUACAGCUCAACUGUAGAACUGCCAUUGAUACUGUAAGUCUUGAAUUUGGUCGAAGUGGGCGGAAUAUGACAUGUAGCGGUGAAAUGCUUAGAUAUGUCAUAGAACACCGAUAGCGAAGGCAGCUCACUAGGCCAGUAUUGACGCUCAUGGACGAAAGCGUGGGGAGCAAACAGGAUUAGAUACCCUCGUAGUCC
rnacentral:rRNA from 1 species